CAGCAGCCGCGGGAAUACGUAGGGUGCGAGCGUUAAUCGGAAUUACUGGGCGUAAAGCGUGCGCACGCGGUUCGCUAAGACAGAUGUGAAAUCCCCGGGCUUAACCUGGGAACUGCAUUUGUGACUGCACAGCUAGAGUAUGGCAGAGGGGGGUGGAAUUCCACGUGUAGCAGUGAAAUGCGUAGAGAUGUGGAGGAACACCGAUGGCGAAGGCAGCCCCCUGGGCCAAUACUGACGCUCAUGCACGAAAGCGUGGGGAGCAAGCAGGAUUAGAUACCCGCGUAGUCCCUGUCUCUUAUAC
rnacentral:rRNA from 1 species